UACGUAGGGGGCUAGCGUUAUCCGGAAUUACUGGGCGUAAAGGGUGCGUAGGUGGUUUUAUAAGUCAGAGGUGAAAGGCUACGGCUCAACCGUAGUAAGCCUUUGAAACUAUAAAACUUGAGUGCAGGAGAGGAAAGUAGAAUUCCCAGUGUAGCGGUGAAAUGCGUAGAUAUUGGGAGGAAUACCAGUUGCGAAGGCGGCUUUCUGGACUGUAACUGACACUGAGGCACGAAAGCGUGGGGAGCUAACAGG
rnacentral:rRNA from 1 species